rnacentral:rRNA from 1 species
UACCAGCACCCCGAGUGGUCGGGACGAUUAUUGGGCCUAAAGCAUCCGUAGCCGGUCCUGCAAGUCUUCCGUUAAAUCCACCUGCUCAACAGUUGGGCUGCGGGGGAUACUACAGGGCUAGGAGGCGGGAGAGGCAAGCGGUACUCAGUGGGUAGGGGUAAAAUCCGCUGAUCCAUUGAAGACCACCAGUGGCGAAGGCGGCAUCCUGGACCGGCAUUGACGCUGAGGCGCGAAAGCCAGGGGAGCAAACGGG